UUUAUGAGGUGCAACCAAAACAGCUGUUUGACAUUGCAACAGGGAUAUUCUGGCAGGCUGUCGAGAAUUAGUUCUUGAAUACUGUUAUGGUUUUGAUCACUAAAAUGGCUGUGACUUUUGGACUCUCUUUGAGUGUUUCUUGGAUUUGUUGCCUGCUAAUUGGAGGGAUAACUUGUUUUACACUUAAAGGUAACGCUCAUGGGCAUCCUGCCUACACUGGACCUGAACCGACUGGAUCCUAUGCCCAAGCAAGUGUGGUGUCUGGUCCAAAUGCUAAAGCUACUGGCCACAAUGCCACGUGAGCGGAAGCUACUGGCCACAAUGCCACGUGAGCGGAAGCUACUGGCCACAAUGCCACGUCAGCGGAAGCUACUGGCCACAAUGCCACGUCAGCGGAAGCUACUGGCCACAAUGCCACAUCAGCGGAAGCUACUGGCCACAAAGCCACGUCAGCGGAAGCUACUGGCCACAAUGCCACGUCAAGUGUGAAGUCCGGCCCCGCAGCAGAAGCUUCAGGCCCCGGCGCCUCAGCAGAAGCUUCAGGCCCCGGCGCCUCAGCAGAAGCUUCAGGCCCCGGCGCCUCAGCAGAAGCUUCAGGCCCCGGCGCCUCAGCAGAAGCUUCAGGCGCCUCAGCAGAAGCUUCAGGCACCUCAGCAGAAGCGUCCGGCGCCUCAGCAGAAGCGUCCGGCGCCUCAGCAGAAGCGUCCGGCGCCUCAGCAGAAGCGUCCGGCGCCUCAGCAGAAGCGUCCGGCGCCUCAGCAGAAGCGUCCGGCGCCUCAGCAGAAGCGUCCGGCCCCUAAGCCUCAGCAGAAGUGUCCGGCCCCGGCGCCUCAGCAGAAUUGUCCGGCCCCGGCGCCUCAGCAGAGUCGUCCGGCCCCGGCGCCUCAGCAGAAGCUUCAGGCCCCGGCGCCUCAGC